CAGUAGCCGCGGUAAUACGUAGGGUGCGAGCGUUAAUCGGAAUUACUGGGCGUAAAGCGUGCGCAGGCGAUUGUGUAAGACAGGUGUGAAAUCCCCGGGCUUAACCUGGGAACUGCGCUUGUGACUGCACAGCUAGAGUAUGGCAGGGGGGGGUGGAAUUCCACGUGUAGCAGUGAAAUGCGUAGAGAUGUGGAGGAACACCGAUGGCGAAGGCAGCCCCCUGGGCCAAUACUGACGCUCAUGCACGAAAGCGUGGGGAGCAAACAGGAUUAGAUACCCGCGUAGUCCCUGUCUCUUAUAC
rnacentral:rRNA from 1 species